ACACAACACACACAGUACAAUUCAUUGUUUUUUUAGAUUCCCAAACCUAUCUCUCACUCACUCCUCUCUCCAAACCCUAACCCUACAUCCUUUGAUCGGCGGCGACUACGAGUAGCAGCGGCCUGCAGCGGCGGUGAGCGACUGAGGUCUCCAAGAUACAAAACACAAUAUGUUCGAAUAAAUUGUGCCUUUUAUGUUUCUAAACGUAAUCUGAAGAAUAUGAGCAAUUCGAUAGGCCAUAACUUGAUUCACCAUAAUUUGCUUGCUCUUGUGAUGUUAGAGCAUCAAAGUAAGAUCAAUUCCUCUUGCAUUUCUGGUUACCAUUUGUUUCAAGUUCAAGCAAAUUCACAGAUUCGAAAGUUGCAUAUCACUUCCAAAUUCUGGGGAAAAUGUGUGAAUUUACGGAAAACGAAGUUGCCGAUGGGAACAAAUCGAGUGCUUUCUGUUUUUCCUCAGUCUGUGUUAGCCACCGAUCCAACUUCUAAGCCUGUGGAUUAUGAGCCUCCAUUCUUCAAAAGCUGCAUAGAACAAGAAGCUCAUAGCCCAUGGACUAAAAAUCCUUUGAAAAUUGAGAGGUUGGGAAUGUCAACAACAAACAUUUUGUAUUAGCUCUCAAGGUUAAGAGUAUGCUUGAUCCUUGUGAAGACGAAAAUGAUGACAUUCAAGACGAUGAUGUGAGCUUGGGAGCUAAUUUUGUACAAAGGGAUAAGCAUUCUGAAUCUGUCAGUGAGAUAAGCAGCAGAAUUGUGACGAUAAUGGAUGACAUGGUUGAUGAAGGUGAUAACGACCCAUGAUGGGUUUCUUGAUGCCAAAAGCAACCGAAGGCUAGGCAAACGUGUGAUCCAUUCUGAUCUGACUGAGAAAAAACUAAUGGAAGUCAAGAAAGUCUUGGACAUUGAUGCCAUGGAUUUGGAUAUUAAUGAAUCACAUAACAAGUCCAACCACGUUGAAUUUCAGAAAUUGGGGACAUGUCCAUUUGUGGAAUGCUCCACUCCAUUGGAUCAGAUCUCACACACACAUGGGAAAAAUCUGAAACACAUCAAAAUGGCUCUAUAAGAAGCAAGCAAAAUGGUUUGAGGGCAAGGGAUUAUGGAAAUACCCCCACAAGUAGA